rnacentral:rRNA from 1 species
UCACGNGGAUCCUACUGUCUCCCCCCUCUAAUCAGUGAAACUGAUCUCCCCGUGAAGAAGCGGGGAUAUACAUAUAAGACGAGAAGACCCCAUGGAGCUUUAAACCUGACAGCACCCGCUCAUUCUAUACCCCAUUAUUUGCCCGACCCCUGUCUGCUCAGUUUUAGGUUGGGGUGACCACGGAGUAUAAAAUAACCUCCAUGAAGAAGGGGAUAUUUCCCUUAUUAGAGAACCACACUUCCAAGAACUAAUAAAUUAAUUUUCAAUGACCCGAUACCCGAUAAUCGAUCAACGAACCAAGUUACCCUGGGGAUAACAGCGCAAUCCACCCUGAAAGCCCUUAUUAACAGGUGGGUUUACGACCUCGAUGUUGGAUCAGGGUAUCCCAGUGGUGCAGCAGCUACUGAGGGUUCGUUUGUUCAACGAUUAAAACCCU